UACGAAGGGGGCUAGCGUUGCUCGGAAUCACUGGGCGUAAAGCGCACGUAGGCGGAUUCUUAAGUCGGUGGUGAAAGCCUGGAGCUCAACUCCAGAACUGCCCUUGAUACUGGCGGUCUCGAGUCCGGGAGAGGUGAGUGGAACUGCGAGUGUAGAGGUGAAAUUCGUAGAUAUUCGGAGGAACACCAGAAGCGAAGGCGGCCAACCGGCCCGAUACUGACGCUGAGGCGCGAAAGCGUGGGGAGCAAACAGG
rnacentral:rRNA from 1 species